rnacentral:rRNA from 1 species
GACGAACGCUGGCGGCAUGCUUAACACAUGCAAGUCGAACGGAAAGGCCCUGCUUGCCGGGUACUCGAGUGGCGAACGGGUAAGUAACUCGUGGGUGAUCUGCCCUGCACGUCGGGAUAAGCUUGGAAUACUGGGUCUAAUACCGGACAGGACCGCACUUUCGCGUGUGUGGUGGCACGUUUCUUCGGUGUAGGAUGAGCUCGCGGUCUAUCACCUUGUUGGUGGGUUAUUGGCCUACCAAGGCGGCGACGGGUAGCCGGCCUGAGAGGGUGUACGGCCACAUUGGGACGGAGAUACGGCCCAGACUCCUACGGGAGGCAGCAGGGGGGAAUAUUGCACAAUGGGCGCGAGCCUGAUGCAGCGAGGCCGCGUGGGGGAUGAAGGCCUUCGGGUUGUAAGCUCCUUUCGCUAGGGACGAAGCUUUUUGUGACGGUACCUAGAUAAGAAGCACCGGCUAACUACGUG